rnacentral:rRNA from 1 species
CCUACGUGAGGCAGCAGUGAGGAAUAUUGGUCAAUGGACGAGAGUCUGAACCAGCCAAGUAGCGUGAAGGAUGACUACCCUAUGGGUUGUAAACUUCUUUUAUAUGGGAAUAAAAUGUUCCACGUGUGGGAUUUUGUAUGUACCAUAUGAAUAAGGAUCGGCUAACUCAGUGCCAGUAGCCGCGGUAAUACGGAGGAUCCGAGCGUUAUCCGGAUUUAUUGGGUUUAAAGGGAGCGUAGGUGGAUUGUUAAGUCAGUUGUGAAAGUUUGCGGCUCAACCGUAAAAUUGCAGUUGAAACUGGCAGUCUUGAGUACAGUAGAGGUGGGCGGAAUUCGUGGUGUAGCGGUGAAAUGCUUAGAUAUCACGAAGAACUCCGAUUGCGAAGGCAGCUCACUGGACUGCAACUGACACUGAGGCUCGAAAGUGUGGGUAUCAACCAGGAUUAGAUACCCGUGUAGUC